rnacentral:other from 1 species
UAUCUCCUGCAGCGUUCGAGCAGUGCUGGGUGUUUCCUGAACCUGUUUUUACCCCGGAAACUUUGACCAUUCAUGGUGUGCAUGCCUGUUUAUUCAGGAAGCCUGAUUGACUGGAUUUGGUUUCCACUUGAACCUCCGGUUCAAGGACGAAAGCAUCAGACGGCGCAGGCGGGAGAUCG